CAGAUUGAUGGCUGCGAACUUAUAUUUCUCACAAAUAGAGGAUCUUAUGUUUGAGCUGUCAAUGUGGCGGUGUAAUGAUGAACUUCGUGUUCGUGCAGAUGAGCUUCAUAGGUCUUCAAGGAAAGAUGCAAAACACUACAUAGAAUUUUGGAAACAGAUUCCUCCUAGUGAACCUUAUCGAGUUAUUCUUGGUGAUGUGAGGGACAAGCUUUAUAAUACACGUGAACGCUCUCGUCAGUUAUUAGCCAAUGGGAUUUCUGACAUUCCUGAGAAAGCAGCUUUUACCAAUGUUGAACAGUUCUUGGAGCCUCUUGAACUCUGUUACAGAUCACUC
rnacentral:misc_RNA from 1 species